UUGGUAGGCCACUACUACAUUGUGGAACUCUCAGCACUAGAACUAAAGCAUUAAUCAGCAGGAAUAGAUGGAUUUUCAUCAUGGACAUGGGCCAUGUGCAAAGGAAAACCUUGACCAAUCCAUAACAAAACUAUCUUAUAGUACCAAGAAAAUUACUUAUUUAAGCUCAGAUUCCUGAUAGGCAAAUAUGGUCAAGCAACUAAAAUAUUAACUACACCGCUUUUAUCAGAGUACAGAAAUGAUGUUAGAGAAAAAGCAAAUUCAAGCAACUUUCUUAUUCAAGUUCAAAGUGGGUCACAAAGCAGUAGAGACAACUCACAACAGCAACAGGAAUGGGCCCAGGAACGGCUAACAAACACACAGUGCAGUGGUGGUUCCAGAAGUUUUGCAAAGGAGAUGAAAGCCUUGAACAUAAGGAGCAUAGUGGCUGGCCAGCGGGAGUUGACAACGACCAACCAAGAGCAAUCAUUGAAGCUGAUCCUCUUGCAACUACACGAGAAGUUGCUGAAGAACUCAACAUAAACCAUCCUAUCGUCAUUGGACAUUGUAAGCAAAUUGGAAAGUGAGAAAGCUCAGUAAGUGGCUGCCUUAUGAGCUGAUUAAAAAAUGAAAAAAAUUGUCA